GCCAGAGUGGUGGAAUGGUUUAAGUGUUGGACUAUGACCCUGGAGACCAGGGUUCGAAUCCCUGUUCGACCA